rnacentral:lncRNA from 1 species
GUAAAAAAUAUUGGGGACGUCUGAUUGGUACAUUUUCUUUUUCUUGGGAAUUUUGAUGUUAUGACAAGAUCUCUGCAUGUUAUGUUUUAAGAACUACUUGCUUUUUAUUUUUAACUAUUAAAGCUGUUAUGGCCUACAAAUGCUGUAAAACUUGACACUUCUAUUAUUAUAAACACGUUUCAUUACAAUUCUAUUGUAAUUAAACUUUCUUUUCUUCUCUUUUUGGCACUUUUGUAACGGGGCUAGUUUGCAGAGCAGACAAAUGAAAAGCACAAUGACCGUCUUUGUUUCCUUCUGGCUUUAUGUCAGCAUAGCAGGCUUGCAGCUCUCUACGGUAAGCAUGUUCUGUUUAUUUUUUUUCACUAAAUCAAUAAAAUAUUUUUAUUAUAAGAUUAAUUUUAAGAAAAAAUAUUGAUCUCAUGGAUUUAGAGUUGGAUUAUGUUUGGAAUUGGAAUAAUGUGUUCAUGCACAUAUGAUGUUUGAUGAAGUUCGCAUAAGAUUGAUUCAAUUAUAUAAGUUUUUGAUGCUGAAUUAAGUGGAGCAAAAACUUUUAUCAAUGGGUUGAUUUCUGUUAUGCAGGUGCUGUUUUUACUGCUUUUUUUGCAGAAACACAGCACCUCAAAGUUUUCAGGCGCUGCUUAGCAGCUGUUAUGUAGUAAAAAUAACAUUUGGAAACAAUAUAUAUCUAAUUCUGCCUAAGAAUUUAGAUCAUGCAUUUGAAAUUUGAAUAUAUAUUUUUUUGGGGCCUUUUUUUCUAAUAUCAUUUGUUUUUUCCCCUUGUAUGCAGAGAUCCAUGAAAUCUAAAUCUCAAAUUAGUCGCAUCUGAAGUUUAACUUUUGGAAGCUAUAAAUUGAUUUAAUUUUGUAUUAGUUCUAUUGAUGUUAAAAAUU